GCGAGCGAAGCCAAGCGUCUAGAUAGAGCGUUGCCCUCCGAAGGCAAAGGUCACACGUUCGAAUCGUGUCGGGUGCGCCA
rnacentral:tRNA from 1 species